GGAAAAAACGAAACGGCAAAGCGGGAAUUGACAAGCAUUGUAAAACAGCUUGAAAAAAUUGACAAACAACUCAACAACAAAGACGACAAACGCGCAACGAUCAAUUUUGUGGCAACGUUUAACAGCUUCCAGUCGAACCGUAUCAGUACAUUCAAAUACCCCUCAGAAGCCGAAAUCAAACCAAAGUUCUUGGACUUCGACGGUACCAUGUCUGCCGUCAAAGUUGCUGUUCAAGAGGCAAUGAGUGACUACUUUCCACAAAAACAAGUGGCGGCAACCGUCACCGCUCCGCUGGACACUUCAAUCGAUUUUACAACUCCCACAAAGACCAUAUCAGCGUUCACCACCAUCCCAUCUCCGGCCAACGAAAGGAAAUCGUUGCCCACAUCUUCAAAGAAUCUUUGUGGGAGAAAUGCUUGUUCGUUCGGAAAAAAAAUCAGAAAGCCAGUCUGGGUCAAGUGCAGCUACGAUGGAGGUGACGGAAAAACGUGCAGUUAUUGGGUACAUGCGGCCUGCAUUGGAUUUCCAGCUCUAAAAGAGGCCGACGCGAAAUCAUUUGGUGCAUGGCAUUGUCCGGAUCACACUGAAUCAUAUUUUAAACGCAAGUAAUUUAUUGGGUACGAAUGAUUGAAAUAAACAGUUUCGAA